CUCUCAUUCCUGCAGUUGUGUGCCCCUAAUCUGCAGAGAAGACGAACACCCUGAAGAGUUAUUAUGGAUUAAAAUGUACAUGCAAGAAACUGGAAACGACAUCAUCAUCAUGAUACUAGUAAACAUGGCUACUGUUUAUCACGCUCUCGGUUUAUUCCAGGCACUGUGACCUCCCUUCUAAUACCAAGUUGAUUGACUUUUGAAGACUUGUGUUGAUGCCUCUAGAUACUUAACUUGGAUAAUCC